rnacentral:rRNA from 1 species
UACGGAGGGUGCGAGCGUUAUUCGGAUUCACUGGGCGUAAAGCGCGCGUAGGCGGUUUGGUAAGUCUGAUGUGAAAGCCCUCGACUUAAUCGAGGAAGUGCAUUGGAUACUGCCAGGCUAGAGUACAGGAGAGGAAGAUGGAAUUCCCGGUGUAGAGGUGAAAUUCGUAGAUAUCGGGAGGAACAACAGAGGCGAAGGCGAUCUUCUGGACUGUCACUGACGCUGAGGUGCGAAAGUGUGGGGAGCAAAC